UACGAAGGGGGCUAGCGUUGUUCGGAAUUACUGGGCGUAAAGCGCACGUAGGCGGAUUGGUCAGUUAGGGGUGAAAUCCCAGGGCUCAACCCUGGAACUGCCUUUAAUACUGCCAAUCUAGAGUUCGAGAGAGGUGAGUGGAAUUCCGAGUGUAGAGGUGAAAUUCGUAGAUAUUCGGAGGAACACCAGUGGCGAAGGCGGCUCACUGGCUCGACACUGACGCUGAGGUGCGAAAGCGUGGGGAGCGAACAGG
rnacentral:rRNA from 1 species